CACGUAGGAGGCAAACGUUAUCCGGAUUUACUGGGCGUAAAGCGCGUGUAGGUGGUUCUGUAAGUAGGGCGUGAAAGCUCCCGGCUCAACUGGGAGAGGCCGUUCUAAACUGCAGAGCUAGAGGAUGGUAGAGGGAGGUGGAAUUCCAGGUGUAGCGGUGGAAUGCGCAGAUAUCUGGAGGAACACCAGUGGCGAAGGCGGCCUCCUGGACCAUUCCUGACACUCAGACUCGAAAGCUAGGGUAGCAAACGGGAUUAGAUACCCGCGUAGU
rnacentral:rRNA from 1 species